GACGAACGCUGGCGGCGUGCUUAACACAUGCAAGUCGAGCGGUAAGGCCCUUUUGGGGGACACGAGCGGCGAACGGGUGAGUAACACGUGGGUGACCUGCCCUCAGCUCUGGGGAUAAGCCUGGGGAAACUGGGUCUAAUACUGGAUAUGACCUUUCCUCGCAUGGGGGUUGGGUGGAAAGUUUUUCGGCUGGGGAUGGGCCCGCGGCCUAUCAGCUUGGUUGGUGGGGUGAUGGCCUACCAAGGCGACGACGGGUAGCCGGCCUGAGAGGGCGACCGGCCACACUGGGACUGA
rnacentral:rRNA from 1 species